rnacentral:rRNA from 1 species
UAAGCAUAUCAAUAAGCGGAGGAAAAGAAACUAACAAGGAUUCCCCUAGUAACGGCGAGUGAAGCGGGAAGAGCUCAAAUUUGAAAGCUGGCACCUUCGGUGUCCGCGUUGUAAUCUCGAGAAGUGUUUUCCGUGCUGGACCAUGUACAAGUUCCUUGGAAUAGGACGUCAUAGAGGGUGAAAAUCCCGUACUUGACAUGGACGCCCAGUGCUUUGUGAUACACUCUCCACGAGUCGAGUUGUUUGGGAAUGCAGCUCAAAAUGGGUGGUAAAUUCCAUCUAAAGCUAAAUAUUGGGGAGAGACCGAUAGCGAACAAGUACCGUGAGGGAAAGAUGAAAAGCACUUUGGAAAGAGAGUUAAACAGUACGUGAAAUUGUCGAAAGGGAAGCGCUUGAAGUUAGACAUGCUUGCCGGGAUUCAGCCUUGCUUUUGCUUGGUGCAUUUCCCGGUGUGCAGGCCAGCAUCAGUUUUGUUUGCCGGAUAAGGGUGAGAGGAAUGUGGCCCCUCGGGGUGUUAUAGCCUCUCACUGGAUACGGCGGAUGGGACUGAGGACCGCAGUGUGCCUUUAUGGCGGGCCUUCGGGCACCUUCACACUUAGGAUGCUGGCGUAAUGGCUUUAAGCGACCCGUCUUGAAACACGGACCGAGGAGUCUAAC